GGUCUGGGCUGACUCCUCUUCUUACCACUGUUUUAGUGGUAUUUGUUGCUCUUGGCUUGCCCUCAGAAACUGCAGCUGAUGAUCACUACAAGUAUUCAUCUCCUCCUCCUCCUUACCACUAUCCCUCACCACCACCUCCAGUGCAUUUACCUCCACCAGUGUACAAAUACAAGUCCCCACCACCACCUCAUCAUGUUUACAAGUACAAAUCUCCACCACCCCCACCACCACACCCAGUUUACAAGUAUAAGUCGCCACCACCACCUCCUCAUCCGGUAUACAAGUACAAGUCUCCUCCGCCACCUCCUCAUCCGGUACCACACCCAGUUUACAAGUAUAAGUCACCACCACCACCUCCUCAUCCGGUACCACACCCAGUUUACAAGUAUAAGUCUCCUCCGCCACCAGUUUACAAAUAUAAGUCUCCUCCACCACCACCUCCAGUGUACAAAUACAAGUCUCCACCACCACCAGUUUACCACUACAAGUCUCCACCACCUCCUCCCCCAGUUUACAAAUACAAGUCUCCACCACCACCACCACCAGUUUACCACUACAAGUCACCACCACCUCCUCCCCCAGUUUACAAAUACAAGUCUCCACCACCUCCUCACCACUACUAAGCAAUUGCUUCUGAGGUAAUAACACUUGUUCAAUAUACCCACUUCUGCAUGAUAAAGCAUAUCUCUAUCAACACAAACUGUCAUGUCUAUCAUGCUAAGUGCCUUCACUUCAUCCACCAAAAUGACUGCUAGAAAAUUUUUUUUAUGUUACCAAAGAAAGGCAUCAUUUUUUCCCUCUGUUAUCAAGAACUUGUACAGUAUAUAGAUUAAAGAGUAUUUUUUUAACUAGCUUAUCAACUGAGAAAUGCAUAUAGCUGAUAGCCAGCUGAAUAUUUGCAGGCAAAGGAGAAGGAAACCAGUGUUUGAGACCUUCUUGAAGAUGUAGAAGCAUAAGAAUUAAAGCCCAAUGUGAAGAUGAUGAUUUCAAGUUUUUCUACGUUACCAUUUCUUUAUCUAAAUUGGUUGUAGCGCCUUAGUUCCUUUGUUUAUGGGAUUUGUAUCGUUUUACGUACCAUGCAGUACAUGUCAUGUUUGUAAGGUUUUCUAUCCUGCCGGCAAACCGCAGGUUCCAUGUAAUAAAUCAAUACUAUUUAUAUUACGACACUUUUCUCUGUUUCUCUUAUAUUUUGUCGUCUUUAAUAUUCUUAAUCAUAUUUUUAACAAAAAUAUUCAAACACUUAGGCAAUCUGGUCUAAUGCUAAUUGUAUGUUUUACUUUUCUUUUUCACCUGCUCCCCUUUUCAACUCAAAAGGAUGCAAUAGUUUGUGAUCACUGUUGAAGACGGAAGCAUGAUACUAAUGAAUAUAUCAUUGAAACUCAAGGAAACUAACAUUAUGAAAAGUGUAAAUCUUGAUUUGAUGCAACUAUUUAUUCGUGGAAUCUAUAGUUACAAAACUCAAACUCUGACUGCGCCAUUGAUAAAUUAUUAAUGACGCUAUCAUCAUUAUUUAUCCCCAACUAGUUUCGACUACAACUGAACCCAAUAUUUUCCCCAUGAUAAAAGUUUUUUACUAUUUUACUGGCCUCUCUUCAAAUUUUAAAAAUUACACUAAUCUUCAUUGAGAUUAAUUAUCUUGUAGCAUUUAAGUCCAAUUAAUAAUUAAAAAAUAAUAUUAUGAGAGAGAAAAUAAUAUAAUUUUAUCAUUGCCCCCCAUCUUGCUAUAUUAUUUAAUUAAUUUAAUAGCAACCCACACAUUAAAGAAAAAUACUAAAAUUUGCUGCUUUUCAUUAAAGAUCAAAUUGCAUAUGCCAUAAAACAUAGUAUAUCAUUCUAUAUGUUUCACUUAAUGUAAGAUCCCAAUUGUUCUUUUCAAUUACAAACCCAUUGUCAAACAUGAUCAAUAACAAAUAACCAAAAAAUUUGCAACCAAAAUAUUACAAAAAAAAACUUUAACAUCAUAAAUAUUCUUACCACCUCUAGUGCAUUCACCCUCAUAAAAUAAUUCAAGACCCUACUGUCAUAAAAUGACUGAUCAACUCCUGUAAACCUAAUUUGACAACAUUUAAAUGGAGAACUUUAGCUAAAAGAAUUAUGGUCAAGCUAAAGAAAAAACCAGUUAUUUUCCAACAUAUGCAAUCAUUGAUCAGGGAAAAAAAAAAGAAGCAAAAAGACAUCUUCAAUCAUUUAAUAGCUUACAGGGCAAAUUAACCCCUAAGCGAAAACUGGUUGCUCUAGAAUCAAAAUUUUACUUUAGUUACCCAGGCAACUUUUUUUGUUGCCUUUUCUUUUUCUUUUUUGGGUAUAUAUAUAGCUCCAGUUUUGCCCCCUCUGUCAAGCUUAUAUAAUUAUUAAGAUAAUAAAAGUGCCUUUAAUAGUAUUAAUAUAUCCAUUGACUUGAGCUGUCAUCGAUCGGUUUGGGCUACUUCGAUUCCAUGAGAACAAAUGGUAAUAAAAGUACUCAGAAAAUGGGGAGUCAUGAAACCCUUUUGUUCUAUUCAUUGCUAAGAUGCUUUUCUCUAUAAAGACACUUCCUAACGAAAAUACUUUGUAGAUUUCUUUACUCCAAGUGGUGCAUGGAAAAUUAAUAUUUUCAAUUAUCAAAUAAAAUUCCCUUUUUUCGGUGUAGAUUUCAUCCAUUCAGCUGUUAACACUCCGAAUUGACUAAUCUUUUCGUUUCCAUUUUCCAACUUGCGAAUACGGCAUCUUACAUAUUGUCUGCUGAAUAUGAAUACAUAUCCCUUUUCUGAGCAGGUGCAGAGUCAUUAUCAUUUUUAUUCCCACCUAACAAAUUAGUUAAUAAUCUUUUAAAGAACAUGUUAAAUUAAUUUAUUGGUAUGAAUAGUAGUCAAAGAAGUAUGUUAAAGUUAGUAAUCUUUAAAAUAAUAUGUUAAAAUUAUUCGUACAAAUUAGCCAGAGAAGUAGCAUAAACACCGCGAUGCAAUUAAUACUUUCAAUCUCAAGGUCUCUAUUAUGGAAAUUUGCAUCGGUCAACAUACACAAAGCAUUAUUGUAUGCACGUCUCUCUAUUAUGGAAAUUUGCAUAGGUCAAUAUACACUUGGCAUAGUUGCAUGCACGUCCAAUUUUUUUUUAUUUUUAUUUUUGGUAUUUUACUUCCUGCCUUAAGUUGCCUGCAGAUGUUUGUAUUACAAAUAUAUGGUAUACUAAAUAUAUAGUAUGCACAUUAAUUUCUUUGGGUUGCUUAAGGGUAUAUUGUUAAUAAUAGGGGGUUUAACCAUAAAUUAUAACAAUGAUGAAGUAAUAUAUAUUAGAAAAUUAACACAAUUAUGAUUUUUUUUUUUGUAAAAUUCAAAUUUUAUUAAUAAGAAAUGAAAUAGGCAGUAAGCAUUUACAAACCGAAAACAAAAUCCUACAACAACUCUAGGACUCUACACCUUAUUAAAAAAAAACAUUUUGAUAGCGUUUUUCCAAAAGCAGAAGAUGGAAAAUUGCCCAUUUGUACUGGGGAGUUCGUGAUCUUUUCCUCAUUCUAGUCUACUUACAAUUCUUGGAAAAAGGAAUACUCACAUCUCAAACAACAGCCUGUUCAUCUGCAGUGUCCUGCCGAAUUCUAGAAAGUUUGGUGGCAAUGUUAAUUACAUUUCAAAAUUGACUGCUGCGAUAACUAAUUCGAUGGCUUACUACAUGGUCAACGUUUGGAUCUCUUCCUGUCCUUUUUGGAUGCACAUUUUUUUUCUCUAGGUAAUAUAUAAUCUCCCAACUCAUUUCUUUACAAAUGCACCUUUAAUCACCACCAAAAGGUGUGGACAUGAUCUUUACCCUAGAAAACUAUUCACCGACAGGCAAAUUGACGUCAGAAAUACUAAGAGGAAUUCUAGUUUCCUUCGGGUUAAUGCCAUUUUGUACCCUUCAACUGUAACUCAAUUUCUAAGCUGUAAUUUGUGACAUUAUAGUCCUUAAACUAUGAAACCCUUUCUUAUUUAAUUACAAUGGUUAAUACAAUGCCCGUGACUAGACAAGUAUGAAGCAACCAUAACAAAAAAAAAAUCCAAAAUUAGAGAAAAGAAAGAAGUUGCGACCAAAGUAUGUAUCAAGGCAUAGUAUAGAAAUAAAAGUGUCAAAAUUAAGAGUUUAGGGAUAAAAAAGAAUCAAAAUAUAGUUUAGGAAUUGAUUUGUCUCAAUUAGAGUUUAGAUGUCAACUAAGAAGAGAGAUAUAGUUGAAGGGUAGAAUAUAGAUAUAACAGUUCAAUGAUUGAUAUCAACGAGACAAUGACAACUUUGGAUUAUUACCAACCUCUUCUUGAUGGAAAAGGAAAUAGAGAAGAAAGUCGGGCCUGGUCUAAGCCUGUUUCGGAGGCAAAACAACAUUAUGAAAUCACCGGCAUUCACACAAAUAUGUCAAAGUCACCGGCAUGCUAAGUUGCAAAAUUUAUACAAACACUGAAUAUUAUAUUCUUCUCAAAAUUUUUGUUUAAGAUUUAACAAUUAGAGCACGGUACACGAAUUAGCAAUAUUAAAUAAUGAAUGUUCACGAUUGAUAAAGUUAUCAAAGUACAGUUUGAGGACAACCCAUUCCAACGUGUACAAGAUGUUUAGCCUUUGAAAAGUUAAUUAGAGAAGGUGACGAGAUUUUACUAGGCUUACAACUUCUAGGCCUUGGGAGUAAAAAGUGAAGACACUGAGUGCUAUAAAAAGGGGGCUAGAUGUUGCCUAGAAGCAUAUCAGCCUCGGACCACAUUUUGUAGCAAUGGGGAGCAAAGCAAAAGCAAUGGGGUCUAGGCUGACUCCUCUUUUUACCACCGUUUUAGUGGUAUUUGUUGCACUUGGCUUGCCUUCAGAAACUGCAGCUGAUUACGACAAGUAUUCACCUCCUCCUCCUCCUUACCAUUAUUACUCACCACCACCUCUUGUGCAUUCACCUCCACCACCGCCAGUUUAUAAGUCACCCCCACCACCUUAUCACUACUUCUCACCACCACCUCCAGUGUAUCCAUCUCCACCACCAUCUGUUUACAAGUCACCUCCACCACCUUCGCCAGUAUACAAGUCCCCACCACCACCUUAUCAAUAUUCCUCACCACCACCUCCAGUGCAUUCACCUCCACCACCACCGAUUUAUAAGUCACCUCCACCACCUCCUCCAGUUUACAAGUCCCCGCCACCACCUUACCAUUAUUCCGCACCAUCACCUCCAGUGCAUUCACCUCCACCACCACCGAUUUACAAGUCACCUCCACCACCUCCUCCAGUUUACAAGUCUCCAUCACCACCUUACCAUUAUUCCUCACCACCACCUCCAGUGCAUUCACCCCUACCACCACCGGUUUACAAGUCUCUGCCACCACCUUACCAUUAUUCCUCACCACCACCUCCUAUGCAUGCACCUCCACCACCAAUAUACAAGUCACCUCCACCACCUCCUCCAGUUUACAAGUCUCCACCACCACCUUACCAUUAUUCCUCACCACCACCUCCAGUGCAUUCACCCCUACCACCACCAGUUUACAAGUCUCCGCCACCACCUUACCAUUAUUCCUCACCACCACCUCCUGUGCAUGCACUGCCACCACCAAUUUACAAGUCACCUCCACCACCUCCUCCAGUUUACAAGUCCCCACCACCACCUUACCAUUAUUCCUCACCACUACCUCCAGUGCAUUCACCUCCACCACCACCGAUUUACAAGUCACCUUCACCACCUCCUCCAGUUUACAAGUCUUCACCACCACCUUACCAUUAUUCCUCACCACCACCACUCUUCAAUUUGGAUGUAAUUCAAUUUUCCUUGUAAUCGGUGGCCCUCCUUCGGAAUCCAAAUAGUCAUUGAGUGCAGCCUUCUUUCUUUAUUUUUUACUCAUUUUCACCUCAUAAAUUGCUUUCAUCCCCUAAAACUUGUUCGCUGGAAUUUUGAAUUUACCCAUACAACUAAACUCAGAAAAUUCUUACACAAAGGGAUUAGUAGCAUGAAUAGCAAACACAGAAUAAGAGAUAACAGUAUGUUUUAUUGUAUUAAAAAUAUUAAAGUGGAUUAUUUCUCCAUCGAAUUCCAUUGUGAGAGUAUCGUUACUAACAUCAAUCUUAGUUUGAGCAGUACUCAAGAAUGACCUUCCUAAUAUAAUGGGUGAUGGAUUUGGGACACUUUCAUCAUCCAUAUAAAACACAUAAAAAUCAACAGAAAAAAUUAAUCCAUCUACUUGAACUAAAAACAUCCUCAACUACCCCAUUUAGAUAAGCAAAUAUACGAUCAGCCAAUUGAAUUAUUAUCCCUAUUUCUUUUAAAUGUUCUAAAUUUAGGGAAUCAUAAAUUGAUUUAGACAUCACAUUAAUAGAAAUCUUUAAAUCUAUCAUGGCAUUUUUUAUAUUAGAAUGUCCAAUCUUACAUGAGAUAGUAAACAUACCUAGAUUCUCGCAUUUAGGUGGUAGUUUCCUUUGUAAAAUUGCUGAAACGUUCUCAUCUACCACAAUAUGCUUGUCCUCCUCAAUUUCUUCUUGUUGACACACAAGUUUUUCAAGCAUUUAACGUAUUUUGGAACUUAUUUGAUUUGCGUCCAACAAAGGGAUAUUGAUUGCCACCUUGCGAAAAUCUCUAAAAUCUCCUUUUCUUUAUCUUGUUUCUUUGAUUUCUCUAACCUGCUUGGAAAAGGUGGUGAGUUAGUUCCAACUCUAAUUAUAGAAUCAACAAUUACCUUUGGAUUCACAUUUCUCAUUCCUUCCUCCUCAAGCUCUUUGUCGAUUCGAUCUUCAUUUUUAUCCUUUGGAAUCACAACUUCGGAUCCCUGAAUUUUCUUCUCGCUCCUUAAGGUCAUUACACUUACAUUCUUCAGGUUCAGUUCAGGUUGAGACGACAAUUUUUCAUAGAUUUGGGAUUCCAGGCGGUUGAUUGCUAUUACCAUCUGACUCAUCUGACUCUGCAGUGCUUGCACCUGUCCCAAUUGAUUCCUCAUACUUUGCAAGUCAAAAUCCAUCUUUUGUUGAUUAGCAAUUAAUUGCUUCAUUAUCUCUUCUAUAGAUGGACUUGAGUUUGAAAGAGGUGGUGGCGGGCGAGACUGAUACUGUUAUUGAUACCCUUGCUAUCUAUUUGGUGCAAAAUCUGGCUACCUAUUUCCUCCAUAGCUGAGGUUGGGAUGAUCUCUCCAACCAAUAUUGUACGUAUUCGUGUACGAGUCGUAUGGUUUUCUUGGCACGGCGCGUGACCAGCCAUGUUCACUUGCUCCGUACUUUUCUCUUGAAUCAUUGAGCACAUCUCUGUAGAAUGACCCAUAGCAGUGCAGAUCCCACACAUCUUGACUCGUGAUGCAUUUCCUAUAGCUAAUUGCCUAACAAAGGAUGUUAAUUCGGUCAACUGCUGUUGGAUAGAAUAUGUUUCUACCUCAUUUACUUUGCGUGUUGGGGCAUCCUCCCUCGUACCAAACUGUUGCGAAUUUUCCGCCAUUCCUUCAACUAGCUCCCACGCUUCUCGAGAAGUCUUGUUCACCAAUGCCCUUCUACUUGCAGCAUCAAUUAUACUCCUGUCUCUAAAACGCAGCCCCUCGCAAAAAUAUUGGAUGAGCAAUUGCUCACUUAUUUGGUGUUGAGGGAACUUGAUGCAUAACUUCUUGAAUCGCUCCCAAUAAUCAUAAAGCGACUCUCCUGGAUGCUACUUGAUACCGUAUAUCUCCUUCCUUAGACUUGCAGCUCGAGAUGCAAGAAAAUAUUUGUCCAAGAACUUUUUCUUCAGCUGAUCCCACGUGGUGAUGCUACCUGGUGGUAGAUAGCACAGCCAGUCUUUUGCGGAGUCCUUCAAGGAGAAGGGAAAUGCCCUCAUUUUUAUCUAUUUUUCUGUAAUUCUCGGAGGUUUUAUGCUGUUGCAAACGACAUCAAACUCUUGCAAGUGCUUAUACGGUUCCUCACCUGGUAAACCAUAGAAAGAUGGCAAGAGAUGAAUUAGACCAGAUUUUAACUCAAAUGAAGUGUUAUCAUUUAAAAAUAGAAAAGUAACUGAGAUGCAGCACUGGAAUGUUCUUCUCGAAAUUGUCUGGUCUCUUUCUUUGUUCUACGCGUAGUCUUCUCUACCUUAGGAUCAAAAAUUAAUUUACCUGUACGAGAAGAACGAGGCAUACACUAGAAAAACACUAGAAAAUUAGAACAAAAAUGAACAUAAAAAGAAACAAAUAAACCAACGUCAGUCCCCAGCAACGGCGCUAAAAAUUGACAAGUUGUCGAUGCCUGUGCAAUAAUAAAAAUAAACCUAGUUACCAAUUAAAAUAAUCAGAGCCUAAUUCUGAGUACUAGAGCAGGGACUAUAGGUGUGCAAUGGGUUACUUGAUUCACCCUAUUCCUGAAGUUUGCUUAACCCGAUAUACCAGAAUGAGAUUGCUUAUUCAAAAGGAAUUAUUGAUUUGUAAACAGGGCAAGUAGGGUCGUAUCAUCAGGGAUUGAAAAAAUUUGUUUCUUUUCAAAUCCACAGUAACAAGGGGAUGUUUUUGUAUAAAUGAUAACAAUCUAAGGAGUGCAAAUAGAAAUAAAUAGAUAACUAGAAAUUAAAUGACAAUUCACUAAAAUUAGAGUAAUAAUAAUUAAAGGUCUAGCUAAGAAAUAACUUCAGCAAUGGUUCACCUAAUUGAUCAUCGACGCAAAGGCAAUUCCAAUUAUUUACUAAUAAAUAGGUUAUAACUGCAAAACAAGCAAUGACAGUCAACCCCUCCUUACUGUCGGUCGGUGAUUAAGGUACGCCCAAUCACUGCUCUAGUUGAGAAAUAAUUUUAGGGACGCUCGUAAGAUUUAAUUUUCCAAUUGCCUUACGUAUUAGAGGAGCCAUAAUCUAACCAAAUAACGCUACCAGGAUUAUUUUAAAUUAACCCGUGUAUUCCCUUGAUACAAAUUCAAUCAUGUCAGUUGUCACUAUUUCAAGGUAAUGAAACAAUUACGGAUUUAAUAUCCUAAUUGACAAUAGGUUACUAAAUCAAUUCACUAUUUCGAUCCAAGAUAAUCAAUCAAUUUAACAACUAAUAGCACUGCAAUCGGAGAAUAUGUAAAUACCAAUAAAUAAGAGGAAAAGAUAAAAUUAAAUCGAUCUCACAAUUUUUAAACAAAUCAAAGUAUCCGUUGUUUCUUGACUAGAAAAGAAAAUUUAGUUCAUUCCUAAUGUGAAAGACCCACGUGAGAAUUCAAAAAUAAUAUUCACGGAUAUUGUCUUGAUUCAAUAGAUUCAAUUGCGUUGGAAUAAGGAUAAAAAGCCAAACUAUAGAGAGUGAUUCAAUGUUUUGUUUCGUUUGCAUUUUUUCUACACAUAUGGAAGAAGAAAAACAACUAAAGGACGAAAAAAAAAAGUCAAAGAAAGGCACCCAAAGUAGUGCUUGGUCUCUACCAUCCUAUUUCCUAUCUAAUUACUACUUCCCUUCUGCGGCUGCCUAGAGGAAGAAAGAGAAAGCAGACUUCAGGUCUUGUUCCAUCUCCUCCCUUUUCGGCAAUUCCCCAAAAGUAGAAAAGUUCCUCCGUUUACCAAAAUGCCCCUGGAAUGAGGACUGCUACUUGAACUCAUUUUCUUGAUAACUGUCAAAUUAGCACUUGUUAUGGUAUUUGCGUCUACUUCCUGUAAUAAAUGUAAAUUGCCAAAAGUGAGUAAACUGAUAAUUAAUUUACAUCAGGUCAGGUAAUAGGAAAAAUUAAUUAUAAAAUAAAUGAUAAAAUUGCAACCUAUCACUUAGAAUAACCAGAAAUAAAACAAAACAAGAAAUGAAAGAAAUAAGAGGGUAGCAUAGACAUUUUGGAUUUUUCUGUUAAUUUGGAUGAUUUCCACCUACGGUCUAAUUUAAUCCAAAACACAAAUGGAUUAUGUGGAGAUUUUUAAACAAUGAGGGAGUAUCGUGACCGAAUCCCAAACCACAAAGGGGAUUUACUAUAUUUUACUCUUAAAUUUUGGUUUCAUCUCAUAGCAUACAAGAGUACUAUUUCACUGUCUGUCGACCAGGGAGGAGGGUUGGGUUGGGUGGUACGGGGGAGGGAGUCUAAGUAAGAGGUCUCAGGUUCGAAUCCUCCUGUUUAUACUAAAAAAAAAAAUUUACUAUCUGUCGACAAAGAUUUUCUAUGGUUGAUGUACCAUAGGAAAAAUCUGCCUAUACAAUUAUUUGGAAAAAUUAUCCAUCCAAACAUAGUCACGAUAGCAUUUUUUCAAAAACACUAGAUGCAAAAUUGUCCCCUUAAACGUGGAAAUUCAUGAUCUUUCCUCGACUAGUCUACUUGUCAAUUUUUGAAAAAAGAAUACUCACGCCAAAAACACGGCCUCUUCAUCUGCAGAAUUCUAAAAAGUUACGUAAACUCUAUAAACAAGUUGAUAGGUACAAUCGUACCCAAGAUCAAGUACAGAUAGUUGUACAUUCACUGCUGCAAUAACUAAUCUGAUGACUUACAAACACAUCAUGGUCAAUCGUUGAAUGGUAAUGAGUCUUUUGUUAUGCAUUAGUAUUAGUGUGUACACUCUAAUAGAUUGAUACUUAUACUCUUUAAAUUAUCAUAAUAAUACCCUUAAUUAACUUUAACCCUUAAAAAGAAUACGUGUUAAUACACGAGAGUGUGUAACCUGAAUUGUUACUUAUACAUUAGUGUGUAAUAGAACGGCAAGCAUUAUGGUGGUCAUUGAGCAACUUAUAGGAGAAAUAGUCCUAUAAGCUGUUCAAUGACCAAUCACAACUUGCUAAUUGGAUGACUAAUAUAGCUCUAGCUGUAAUGUUUUAAUUAAAUUCCACACUAACGUUGGGAUGACUUUUUAAUCAAAAAAAAAAAAGCCUUAGUUCAAGCUUUUCCCCUUAUUGUGCAUUUUUUAAAACAUUUGAUAGGCACUGCAAAUCUGUCAUUUUGGACAUUUUAUUAUUAACUAACAAUGAAAGCCGUGGACAUCAACCCAUAUCCAACAAAAUAUUAAAUUAAUAUUAGAAAAAUUAUUAAGUAAUUGGAAAAAAAAAAGAAGAGGCUAAUUUUCAUUGAAACCCACCGACAAACUAUCCGUGUCCAUAGCUUUUGAAUAGUGCAUUCAACGUUUAAUUGUAUGGUCCAGUUCAUUGCCGAUUACAUGGAGUAAAGAUUGUGCUCUUUCCUUUUUCACCCCUUUUGGAAUCGAUACUGUGGAGAAUUGGGUUUUUCCCUCCUUUUUUUCUUUUCUUUCCUUCUGUGCUUUGCAAAACAUACGUAAAAAUAUGAAAUCCGAAGCAUUCUUUAAUUGGGAUUAAGUAUUGUUGUUGAAAUUAAAAAGAAGAAAGAAAGAACAACAAAAAUCCCAAUCUGGGUUGAUUGUUGAGCUCUAGAUUGGCUGCAUCGUGCUUCCAUAGAAGUUCUCUUAGUGUGAUACGCUGCUUUCAAUCAGUUUUAAUAUUUAAGUAGAGUGCAAAAUAACUUUACUAUUUAAUGGGUUAUAAUGCACCAUUUGGUACCUCUCACCCACCUAUGAUUUGAUUUACUACUGGCAUGGUAAUGGACAGAGUUGGGGGAGCAGGAGGAGGGAGAUGGCGGUACCAGUCCGUCAACCACAGCACACCCUCCCUCGGACUUUGCGUGGUAGCGAAGUGGAGGCAGAUCGAGCACACAUGCACUAACGCCUUAAGUAUGUACAAUAUAUGUAUGCCAAAAGCAUAGCCAAGCCUACCAGCGCAUUUCAAUAAUAUAACCCGGAAAUUAAGGGCAUUGAAUUAAGUACGAUGAAUCAUAUUGGUGCACAAUUACAGUUUGAAGCUACCGAUUCGAGUAAAUUUAAGCGUAAGCACAAUCAAUCGCCAGUCAAAUGCUGAAAUAUGCAUAUGCAUGGAUGAAUGUAUGGGUUUCUUAGUUCCAGACCAAAGGCCAACAAUAAGGGAAGGAAGGACAGUUCUCAUUUUUAGCACGGACAAGGAGAUGAAGAAAAGUGUAUGUAGCUUGAGACAGAACAAUGGCAUGUGACCGCUCCUGAGACCACAUAACGUGGGGUGGGGAUGGGACGGCCAAGAAUGAAGAUGCCUGUCGGUCUCUCCGUGCUGCUACCAUAUGAAUCCCCCGUUAACCAAUUCAAGAUAAGCCUGAAGUUCUUUUCAUCCCCAAACCCUGUCCCAUCUGUGUAAAUCCAACAUCAUCAUUUACGACCUGCAACUCAGGUUAAGCAUGUUCUAUUGAGAUUCAGACACCACCCUUCAAAAGAUAUACUACUGUGAAACCAGCAGCUUAAUAUCAUUGUAUAAAAAAAAAAAAAAAAGAAAGAAGAAAAGACAUGAAAAGCAAAUUUUGUGGGGAUAAUUUCAAAAUCUCUCCUAAAGUUUUUUACUAUUUUACUGGCCUCCUUUCAAAUUUUAAAAAUUACACCAGUCUUCCUUGAGAUUAUUUAUCUUGUAACAUUGAGGUCCAAUCAAUAAUUAAAAAAUGAUAUUAUGAGAGAGAAAAAAAAUAAACUUUAACAUCAUAAAUAUUCUUAUCAACAUAUUAAAGUUAGUUACUGAAAUUUUUAUGGUGUUAAACUUCACUCUUUGUAAUAUUUUAGUUACAGAUUUUUUGAUUACUUGUUGUUGAUUUUUUUUUUUUUAGUGUAAACAGGAGGACUCGAACCUAAGACCUCUCACUUACACUCCCUCCCCCCGUACCACCCCAACCCAACCCAACCCUCCCCUCGUUGUUGAUCAUGUUUGACAAUGGAUUUGUAAUUGAAAAGAACAAUUUGGAUCUUACAUUGAGUGAAAUAUAUAGAAUGAUAUACUAUUUUUUAUGGCAUAUGUGAUUCAAUCCUUGAUGAUAAAAGCAAAUUCAAGUGUUUUCUUUAAUGUUUGUGCUGAUAUUAGAUUAAUUAAAUAAUUUAGUAGAUGAAGGAAAAUGGUGAAAUCAUAUUAUCUUCUCUUUCCUAAUAUCACUAUUUAAUUAUUGAUUGAACUUAGAUAUUACAAAUAAUAAAUCUCAAGGGAGAUUAGUAUAAUUUUCAAAUUUUGGAGAGAAGCUAAUGAAAUAGUCAAAAACCUUAAGGGAGGUUUACAAAAUUAUCCCAAAUUUGUGGGAAUUAGAAUAAUUGUACUGGACGGCACUGCCGCAACAGAGGGAAAGAGGAGGAGGUGCAGUUAACUUUUUGUUGUUUGAAAUCCUUGGUGAAAUAUUACAGAAAGACAGAUAAAACAGUUAGUACAUAGAUGUAUAUGACAGGGAAAAUGGUACGUCUGUUAAUCACAUUUGAAACACUUUCAUUGGUGAAUGACGAAAACUAUCAGGCUUGCCCAAUAGUUGAUCAUUGACCAAGACAAAUCUUGCCAUGCUAGAGGUACCAUCUUUUCGUACCUCUUUAGUGCACAGGACAUUCCUUUGUUUCAUCUAGCUAAUAAUCUACCAACUCAUUUCUUUGCAAAUGCACCUUUUAUGGUCACGUCUACGAAAGCUUUACAGGAUCUUUACCCAAAAAAUCAAUUCACCGACUCGCAUUUGAUGUCAAAAUUUCUUUACUUUACUCCAAGAUUGACUGUUAAUAAUAAUGCCACUUUGAAUUAUCACACCAUCCUUCUUGAUAGGAUUUGUGCUAGAGGUAGGGAGGGAGUCGCUGCAGCCGGUCUUCUCUUCAUAGACAGUACAAUAUUGCGAAAUCGAUCGCAUUCACGCAAUAUUAUAUUUCCAAGUCGUUGCAUGGGUAAGCUGCCAAAAAGUACGAACACAUGUUAUUAUAUAGCUUAAGAUUCAAAACUUUCGAGCAUAACCCUCCACCUAACACAAUUGAAUAAUGGAUAUUCACGAUUGUCAAAUCUGUCAAAGUACAGUUUGAGGACAACCCAUUCCAACCUGCAAAAGGUUUUUUUACUUUUCUAAAGUUGUUGAGAGCUGUUAAAAGAUUUACCAUGCUUACAUCUUCCGAGCCUUGGGAGUUAAAAAUGAAGGCACUGAGUGCUAUAAAAAGGGAAUAGAGGCUGCCUAGAAGCAUACCAGCCUAAAACAAGGAUUUGUAGUUAUGAUGGGAAGCAAAGCAAAAGCAAUGGGGUCUGGGCUGACUCCUCUUCUUGCCACUGUUUUAGUGGUGUUUGUUGCUCUUGGCUUGCCCUCAGAAACUGCAGCUGAUGAUCACUACAAGUAUUCAUCUCCUCCUCCUCCUUACACUAUCCCUCACCACCACCUCCAGUGCAUAUACCUCCACCUCAUCCUGUUUACAAGUACAAAUCUCCACCACCCCCACCACCACACCCAGUUUACAAGUAUAAGUCACCACCACCACCUCCUCAUCCGGUACCACACCCAGUUCCUCAUCCGGUGCCACACCCAGUUCCUCAUCCGGUGCCACACCCAGUUUACAAGUAUAAGUCACCACCACCACCUCCUCAUCCGGUACCACACCCAGUUCCUCAUCCGGUACCCACACCCAGUUUACAAGUAUAAGUCACACCACCACCUCCUCAUCCGGUACCACACCCAGUUUACAAGUAUAAGUCACCACCACCACCUCCUCAUCCGGUAUACAAGUAUAAGUCUCUCCGCCACCAACACCCAGUUUACAAGUAUAAGUCACCACCACCACCUCCUCAUCCGGUGCCACACCCAGUUUACCACUACAAGUCACCACCACCACCUCCUCAUCCGGUACCACACCAGUUUACCAUACAAGUCACCACCAAUCCUCACCCAGUUUACAAAUACGAGUCUCCACCACCUCCAGUUUAUAAGUACAAGUCACCACCACCUCCUCCACCAGUUUACAAGUAUAAAUCUCCUCCACCACCACCACCAGUUUACCACUACAAGUCUCCACCACCUCCUCCCCCAGUUUACAAAUACAAGUCUCCACCACCUCCUCACCACUACUAAGCAAUUGCUUCUGAGGUAAUAACACUUGUUCAAUAUACCCACUUCUGCAUGAUAAAGCAUAUCUCUAUCAACACAAACUGUCAUGUCUAUCAUGCUAAGUGCCUUCACUUCAUCCACCAAAAUGACUGCUAGAAAAUUUUUUUUAUGUUACCAAAGAAAGGCAUCAUUUUUUCCCUCUGUUAUCAAGAACUUGUACAGUAUAUAGAUUAAAGAGUUUUUAUUUUAACUAGCUUAUCAACUUAGAAAUGCAUAUAGCUGAUAACCAGCUGAAUAUUUGCAGGCAAAGGAGAAGGAAACCAUGUUUGAGACCUUCUUGAAGAUGUAGAAGCAUAAGAAUAAAAGCCCAAUGUGAAGAUGAUGAUUUCAAGUUUUUCUACGUUACCAUUUCUUUAUCUAAAUUGGUUGUAGCGCCCAAGUUCCUUUGUUUAUGGGAUUUGUAUCGUUUUACGUACCAUGCAGUACAUGUCAUGUUUGUAAGGUUUUCUAUCCUGCCGGCAAACCGCAGGUUCCAUGUGAUAAAUGAAUACUAUUUAUGUUACGACACUUUUCUCUGUUUCUCUUAUAUUUUGUCUUUAAUAUUCUUAAUCAUAUUUUUAACAAAAAUAUUCAAACA
rnacentral:lncRNA from 1 species